GCCUGGGUGGCUCAGUUGGUUGAGCGUCUGACUUUGGCUCAGGACAUAUCUCCUGGUUUGUGAGUUCGAGCCCCGUGUCAGGCU
rnacentral:tRNA from 1 species